AUCCUUUUGUAGUUAUAAGUGUGAUGAUUGGGUGUUGGUGCAUAUUUGCUCCUGAAACCUUGUCACAACACUGGCACGUUACCUUUCUAAUG
ensembl:snoRNA